rnacentral:rRNA from 1 species
UACGGGGGGGGCAAGCGUUGUUCGGAAUUACUGGGCGUAAAGGGCUCGUAGGCGGCCAACUAAGUCAGACGUGAAAUCCCUCGGCUUAACUGGGGAACUGCAUCUGAUACUGGAUGGCUUGAGUUCGGGAGAGGGAUGCGGAAUUCCAGGUGUAGCGGUGAAAUGCGUAGAUAUCUGGAGGAACACCGGUGGCGAAGGCGGCAUCCUGGACCAACACUGACGCUGAGGAGCGAAAGCCAGGGGAGCAAACGGG